GGAGCAUCUCUUUUUCUGGAGUCUUUUUCAAACAGAGCAUGGGUUCCUCCAGGUCUAAAAUGGUCAAGGGCCAAUCUGAAGGUUAGGAUAGCACUAGUUUAUCUGGUAAAACCCUUGAGGAUCUGUGGAUCUGUGGUCUCUCAAUUCAUCAUCUGAGGACAGGGAGACAUAGUCCUGAGGAGUUGAGGUCAUAGUUCCUGUAAGAAAGUUGAGAUGGGCCAGGUGCAGUGGCUCAUGCCUGUAAUCCUAGCACUUUGGGAGGCUAAGGUGUGCAGAUCACUUGAGGUCAGGAGUUCGAGACCAGCCUGGCCAACAUGGUGAAGCCCCAUCUCUACUAAAAAUACAAAAAUUGGCCAGGUGUGGUGAUGCAUGUCUGUAAUCCCAGCUACUUGGGAGACUGAGGCACAAGAAUUGCUUGAACUCAGAAGGCAGAGGCUGCAGGGGGCUGAGAUCAUGUCACUGCACUACACUCCGGCCUGGGCAACAGAGCAAGACUCCAUCUCAAAAAAAAAAAAAAAAGAAAAGAAAAGAAAGUUGAGAUGCUUUGGCAUUGACCCGUUUUGUUGAAGUUCCCUCUUACUGCUUUUGUGAGACUUUUGUGAGAACAAUCACCUUCCUGAUUGUUCUUUCUCCCCAGACUGACUGCCCCAGUCUAGUGUUGACCACCAACACCUCUGUCAUAGCUCUCACCCCUCUCCAGGCUCUGAUGUCACAGACCCUGCAGUCACUUUGGAUUUAGUAAAUUCACUAAACAUCCCUUUACUCACUCCCCCAAGUCAAUCUCCCCUGCCCCAGUUCCAUGGUUCUUUUCUGAACCCUCUUUUCUUCUGUAUUCUUUUGCCAUCGGACAGCUUCAGGUCUCCGAACAUCAUGCAUGGUCUCCUAGUUGUCGAUGUGCAAUGGGUAUUUCUCUUCUCUAAACCUUCCCGAGUCCUGCUAAAAUGAUGAAGUGAUGAGCUGAGUGCCAAGAACAGCUAUCACAGCUCCUUAGGGCAUGGGCACCAAAGAUCCAUUUCCUCGUCUUGGGUUCAUGGCUCUCCUACAUUUCCUGGUCUCCUAGGUAUUCAGAUGUAACAGUUAAUUGAGUUCCAGGAAGUGGAAUGUGAGUGAAAUGAGCAACACUUAAAGAAAAACACCAGCUAUAAGCAGACAACAGUGCAGCUUAGGAGAUGACAGCUUUGGAAAUGAAGGCCCCGGGGUCCCUGAAUUCCUGAGAGGAAGAAAGCAACCCACCAAUGACAUCAGACGUUGAGCUACAUCAGCAAGAAAUUAACCUGCAUUGUGUUUGAAAAUAUCUGGGUCUCUUUAUUACCACAGCCUAGCCUAGCCUAAGAAAACCCAUUUCAAAUCCAAACUCCUCGAUCUGAUCUUUAAGGUCUUCUAUAAGUUAUCCCUUCCCCUGUCUGGUUUCAUUUUCCACUGCUCUCUUCUCUCCAUCCUGGUCAUCCUUGCCUCUCUCCCAGCCCUGAGAAGGCUCACUCUUGACUUCCUGCUCAAGCUUCCUGGUUCUCCUGCCCUCUACCUCUUUCCUUUGCUGAUCUCAAUCUCUAACCCUUCCAGGAAGAUUCUCAGAUAAUUCUGCCCCACACACCUCUCUCUCUUCACUGAAUUCAUAGAUCAGUAAUUGUUUCAUUUGUGCUUGUUUUCUCUUCCUUCUCAAGGGCAAGAACCGUCUUUGUGUAUAUUCCUCAAUGCUUGGUAUAAAGCAGGAGAUAGAUAGAUAGAUAGAUAGAUAGAUAGAUAUAGUGUGUGUGUGUGUGUGUGUGUGUGUGUGUGUGUGUGUGUGUGUGUUUGUGUGUGCUGAGUACAGUCUAUGGCCCCCAGAUUCUAUUCCUUGACAUGAAUAACAUGAAGUAUGUUCUCUAAUAGAUAAUUUUUUCAUUCAACAGGAGAUUGAUUCACUGGAUGUCAUUGUUAUAAAAAGCAACAGUGAAAGCUGCAGGGAACACAGUACAAAGUAAUGCACCUUCAGCACAGAUGUUGGAAUAGGAGACGCUAUUACUUGAUUUGUUCCUGUCUUGGCUAGUUGAUGAGGCUGCUGAUGUAGCCUUGACAUUUUCACUUCCUCUUGACAUAUUUUGUUCUCUGUCAACAUUCAACUUUCAACACUGGGCUCUGAGACUGAACAUACCCAGGGAAGUACAGGACAGGACCUCUGGAGCAAAGAGUUCCCACUGUCUCACUUGACUUUAAGUCUCAAAGUUGACUUUCUUUGUCUAUCAGGACAAUCAUCCUGAAAGUCAGGCUUUGUGCAGAGAGGAAAUUUUUCCAAAUCUCAAAUAUUUCCCUUGAGCAUGUUAGGAACCAAGCCCUGCUGUGCCUCUAUCAAAGAGCAGUGGAGAGAACAGACAGUCUGGAAGAGGGAGGAUUUGGGGCAGAGGCAGUCCUUGCCAAAGAGCAUAAUAAGGUGAAAUGCCAGCACCUUCUGGCUCUCUGCAACGUGGGAAGCACUGUGGGUCUAAUAUCAGUAUACCCAGAAUUCCUUCUCCAGGAGAAGAGAGGUGCCAGGUUGAGAGGGAGGCUUUUGGUGCACUCCUUGUUGGGACCCUGGGGUGGGGAGACCACCUCAAAGGGUGCCCCCUUCAUUGUCAUGGAGCUGCUGGCACAUCAGCUUCACCAAGGCAGGGAUCUUAGUUUUGUUCCCUGAUCAUGAGCAUCCAGAACAGUGCCUGGGACAUACUAGGGGCUCAAUAUAUAGUUCUGGGUUGACUACAUCAGAGUAAAAUGGAUGGGAUCUGCCUUUGUGCAGAGUUCCCCCACGUGGUUUCAAAGGAUUCCAGGAGUCCCUGCGUGUGGAGAGCUGGAUGACCAGAGGGGACUGGUUGGGUGAGCUAACGCUGGGUGUUGCCACAGUGGAAGCUUCAAGGAGGACCUUUUGGGCUGGAGGGCAGCAGUGCUCUGGGACAGUCACAGGCAGACAUUCAACAUCAGUUAGAGACAGCGGGGGCUGAGUCAGCCUUAGGAGUGCUCGGCGAACCUUCUGCCUAAGAUCUGCGGAGUCUGCCAGACAAUCUAGAAACUGAAGUUCAGUGAGUUUGAUGGCUGGACCACAGCCAUGCUUCUAGCAAAUGAUGAAGCCAGCUCUGAAAUCCAGGACUCCUCAUUCCAAGACUCCUUCUUUUUCAGCCCCAUCACCCCUGUAAAUUGCCUGAUUCUGCCAGAAGAUACUGGACCCUUCACCUACAUCUCCAGUCAUGAGACUUCCCUCCUACAGGGAGGCUUUUGUUUAGCUGGGCUGAAGUGCUGAGAAAGGGCCCCGGUGGCAGAGGGUCCCAAACACAUGUUAGUGAAAGAACAGCUUCCAUGGACUGCUGAGCAAGUGCUGGGUUCAUUCAUACAACAAUCCUGUCCAGCCUACUCCAAUGCAGUAUGAAAUUCUGGGACCUCCAAGGGAGCAAAUUACACAUAUACACAGGACCACAGUAGCCCUGAUUCACCCAAGAAUCUCCACUGCCACAAAAUGAGGAUACAACAAGGGGAGGACAAGUCAAUAAACAUUUCUCUAGCACUGGGUUAGGAGUCUUCUGUGUGUUAUUGAACUGUGAGAAGGCGUGUAAGAAAGAACAUGCCUUUCUUGUGAAAUGGAUUUUACGAUCUCCACUAUAGAGCUGAAGACCUCCAGGCUCACACCUGUGACAAAUUGGCCAGACUUUUCUGGCACCAAGGACUGCCCUCUUUCAUCAAGUUACCCAGCAGACAAUCAAAGGUGUCAGCUUUCUUCACCAAGGUUUGAUAAUGUUCUAGGGCCCUGGGGAGAGCAAGAGGAGCCUCCGGUAAAAUUGUGAAAUGAGUGAGGUUUGGAUUGGACUCCUUAUAGCAAUCUUCUUCCUACUCGGACAUCCGGCAAGUCCCUUUGCUGACCUCCUUUCACCCCCAGGGCUACUGGCAGAGAAUCCCUGAAAACCAAAAGGGUUGAAGAUGUUAUCUUUUCUAGAGGACACUCAGAGAACAAAAAGGCUUAGAGCUUAAAUUGUGGCAUUUCAGGCUCUAAGAGGGGCAGUGUCUACAAACACCUUAAGUUGCGUUCCCAGCACUUCCCCAGAAGGCAAAAAGAAACUACCUGGAGCACGUUGGAUAUGGGGCUCUAGUUCUGAGACUGAAAAAUCCCAGUUCUCUGCUGAAGUUUGAGGCAUUUAGAACAGCUCCCCUCCCGACCCAAAGGAUGAUUUACUGCAUGGAAGGAGGCUCUUCAGUAUCAUGUGCACAGUGCCACAGCAUUGUAUCUGCCGUCACACCCCGUAUGUUCAGUGCGGCCAUGAGAAAUCAAGGCAUAGGACUGGUGAAGCAUGAGGCACAUGCCCUCCCAAAUUGGGAGUAAAACAAUGUCCCAGGCACCACUACUUUCUUAAACAUUGCUCUGAAAGUGCUAGUCAAUAUAUUUACACAAGGCCAGGUGCAGUGGCUCAUGCCUGUAAUCCCAGCACUUUGGGAGGCUGAGACAGGCAGAUCUCCUGAGGUCAGCAGUUCAAGACCAGCCUGGGCAACAUGGUGAAACCCUGUCUCUACUAAAAAUACAACAAUUAGCUGGGCAUGGUGGCAGAAACCUGUAAUCUCAGCUACUCGGGAGGCUGAGGCAGGAGAAUCGCUUGAACCUGGGAGGCGGAGGUUGCAGUGAGCCAAGAUCACGCCACUGCACUCCAGCCUCGGUGACCGAGUGAGACUCCAGUUUGUCUAAUAUAAAAAUAUGUAUAUAUAUAUAGUCUAAUAUAAAUAUAUAUUUUGUCUAAUAUAAGUAUAUAUUAUAUACAUUUUGUCUAAUGUAAAUAUAUAUAUUUUGUCUAAUAUAAAUAUAUAUAUUUUUGUCUAAUAGAAAUACAAAUAUAUUUUGUCUAAUAUAUAUAUUAGACAAAAGAGUGAAGAAAUAUAAUUUCAACAUUUUAAAAAGGAAGGAAACUCAUUGUUUGUAAGGGAUCUGAUCACAUCAUUGAAAUGUGCAAGAAAAUAAAAUUAUUGGAAAUACUGAAUUCCGUAAGGUUGACAGAUUUUUUUAAAUGCAAAAUUAAUGUCUUUAGACACAAAUGAUCACCACUGAAACAUCCAGAAAUUCCACUUUUAGAAAUCAUCUGAGAAAAUAAUAAGUGCACAAAGAUACAGUCGUAAAAUCAACUUCAGCGUUCAUCAUCGGACAGUUGUUUCAAUGAACUGUGGUUCAUCUAGACAAUGGAAUGCAUAGCCCUUAAAAAUAUUACUGUGGAUCUACAUUUACUGAAAUGGAAAGAUUCCCAUACUAUGGGAUGGUAUGAUAAGCAUGAUAUAAAGUUCUGAAAUUAUAGUGAUAUUAAACUUUUUUAAUACAUUAGGAUUUAAACUUUUAUGUACCAAUAUCAGAACAAAAGGCCAUAAAAAGAUUAAAAUAUAAUGACAAGCCGAGAAUAGAUUGCAUUUCUAUUAUGAUCACUGGUGUAUUUUCUUCACAACACUUACAUCCACUUGAAUUAUAUAUAUUUUUUGUUUUUUAUUAUCUUUCAUUCUCACUAACCUAAAGUGAGGGAAUGUAAGUUUACUGUUGCACACCAGAACCUUGAACAUCAUGAGUAUUUGUUGCAUAAAUUAUGAAUAAAUUCCACUUCUGCACAUUAUGUAUCUCAAUUUCUCUAUAUAUACAUGAUAUAGAGGGAUGUCUGAAAAGAUAAUUCACCCAAAGGCUGGCAUUGGUUGGCUCUAUGUGUUGGAAUUCUCUGUCUCCCUCACCCCUCAAUCCUGGCUCUGUCUACAUACCCAUAAAUACAAAAAUAAUACAGGAAUGUAUUCUCCUCAUUCUUUUUUUUUUUUUUUUGAGAUGACCUCGCUCUCUUGCCUAAGCUGGAGUACAGUGGCACAAUCUUGGCACUCUACCUCCUGGGUUCAAGCAAUUCUGGUGCCUCAGCCUCCUGAAUAGCUGGAACUACAGGUGUGAGCCACCGCACUUGGCUAAUUUUUGUACUUUUUGGUAUAAAUGGGGUUUCGCCAUGUUGGCCGGGCUGAUCUCGAACUCCUGGCCUCAAGUGAUUCAUCUGCCUUGGCCUCCCAAAGAUCUGAGGUUACAGGUGUGAGCCACCUCACUCAGCCUGAAUAGAUUCUCAAUCUUUUAACUCCCAGCAAUAUGGAAUAAACUGCAUAGAUGAAAACACAGAAGUUCUUUUUAUUUCUCUCUUCUGCCCACCCCACCAAAUCCUAUCUUCCUCCCCAGAGAUAACUAUCAUUUUCAGUUUUGUUUGUGUCCUUCCAGACUUUAAAGACACAUCUAGACUGACAGUUUUAGUUGUAUGUAUUCUUUAAAUUAAGUGAGACUAGUCCAUGUAUAUUAUUCUGCAAUUUGCUUUUUUCAUUUGGCAAUAUUGAAAUUCUUUCUGUGCCAGUACAUAUAACUUUCCUGUCCUUUUUUUUUUUGUUUGUUUGAGACAGAGUCUCGCCCUGUCACCCAGGCUGGAAUGCAAUGGCACGAUCUCAGCUCACAGCAACCUCCGCUUCCCUGGUUCAAACGAUUCCACUGCCUCAGCCUCCCAAGUAGCUGGGAUUUACAGGCGCCUGCCACCAUGCCCAGCUAAUUUUUGUAUUUUUAGUAGAGAUGGGGUUUCCCAUGUUGGCCAGGCUGGUCUCGACCUCCUGACCUUGUGAUCCACCCAUCUUGGUCUCCCAAACUGCUGGGAUUACAGGCGUGAGCCACCGCGCCUGGCCUCCUGUCCUUUUUAGCUGCUGCAUGGUCACCAUUAAUAUGCAUGUAUUACCAAAUAUAGAUGCAUUCUGGUUUGUUUUAUGUGCAUUUAGUCAGCAUCCAGUCUUUUGCAAUCGCAAGCCAUGGUGCACCAGUGAACACCUUGUUUGGUUCCCUUUGUAAACGUUGUGUGUAUUCUCUGAAUACAUGUUUUGAAGUGGAAUCGCCAGGUAAAAUAAUGCAUUCAUUUUAAGUAUUGAUAGUUUCUGCCGAACUGUCUUUCACAAACGUGACACUAACUUACCUCUCCCCUCAUCUUAGGUGAGAAAGCCAUUUCUCUACCCUCUUGUCAACAUAGAAUCAUAUCACAAAUCUUCUAAUGUUUUGCUGGUUUGACAGGGAAGGACUAUAUCUUUAUGUUUUUUGUUAUAAUUUUUUUAAAUUAAAAAAAAUUUUUAUACCAACGAGGCUGGUCUCAAACUCCUGAGCUCAAGGAGUUUCUCUUUAUGUUGUUUUAGUCUGCAUUUCUCCGAUCACUAACAAAGUUGAUCACUUUUACCUACGCUUUUAAGACAUUUCUUCUGGAAAAUUCAUGUUCAUAAGCUUCGUCCAUUUUCUUCUUUGGUUGUUUAUCUUUUGAUUAAUGGUUUACAAGAUUUUUAACAACAAAUACUUCGAUUAUUGAUAUUAUCUUACAUAUUUAAAACCUCCUCUUUCUCAAGAUCCGGAAAAUAUGUAUCUAUGUGUUCUUCUAAUGGUUGUUAGUUUUGCUUUUCAUAUUUAGCACUAUAAUACAUCUAUUAUUUCUUUGUGUUUAUGUUGUGAAAUAAAAAUUUAACUGAAAAACAUUCCCAAGUCAAUAACCAAUUGCUCUAACACCAUUAAGUGAAAAUAUUUUCUAUUUUCUCAUUUGGACUAUCACCUUUGUCAAGUAUGAAUUGAUGGCAUGAUUUUUACUUGAAUUUAUUAUACAUGUUUUUAUUUUUGAAUGCACUGUUAUAAGCUACAGCAGGCUGGACGCAGUGGCUCAUGCCUGUAAUCCCAGCACUUUGGGAGGAAAAGCAGUUAUUUUCCAUUUGAAUACAUAUUAUAAUAAUCAACAUCAUGAAAAAUUAAUGAUAAAUUAACUGAAAAUUUCAAGUGAUAAUAUUUUAUGCAUAAUUUAAUCUAAAUUAUGUAAAUACAUCUAUGUGAAUAGAUGCAGAAAAUAAUGAGUAAGAUGCUAACAACUACAUCUUGGUGGCUUUCUCUUACUGGUAUUUCCCAUGCACUCUCCAAUUUCACUUCUACUUUUAGGGCUUAGCUCUGCUUCUUUUCUACUUUGCAAGGGUUGAGUCUCUGAUUUUCAAGGUUUUGGCUCUUGUUGAAUGACACGAGAAGUGAUUAUAAUGUUGUAUGCCCUGAAUGCAUGGUGCUGUGAGGAUGUGGUGACUUUAUCGAGUCAGAGAAGAAAGGCAAGGGAGUGAAGAGUUUGAACAUCUGUUACGUAUCAGAUUGCCUCAUUUGAUUUUUUCAAAUCACCUCUUAAAUAAAAUGUUCUAAUCCCCACUUUCCAUGUGAGCAAAUUGAGAUUCACCCAAGCGAAGUCAAUCAGUCACCUCCUGUAGGCUGCACAGCAAGUAUGUGGCAGAGCUGGGAUUUGCACCAAGGUCAAUUUGGAGCCAAAGCUCACAGGCUUCUCCUCACAUCAGGCAGGCUCUAGGGACGUGGAUG
rnacentral:lncRNA from 1 species